rnacentral:rRNA from 1 species
AGUUUGAUCCUGGCUCAGAGCGAACGCUGGCGGCGUGCUUAACACAUGCAAGUCGAGUGCGCAGUUUCCCGCCGCAAGGCGGGGGAUGGGCGCACGGCGCACGGGUGCGUAACACGUGGGUAACCUGCCCUUCGAUGGGGGACAACCCCGCGAAAGCGGGGCUAAUACCGCAUGACAUUCCGUUGAUUUCGAUCGCCGGAAUCAAAGCCCGCAAGGGCGUCGGAGGAGGGGCCCGCGCCCGAUUAGCUUGUUGGUGAGGUAAUGGCUCACCAAGGCUAUGAUCGGUAGCCGGUCUAAGAGGACGAUCGGCCACACUGGAACUGAGACACGGUCCAGACUCCUACGGGAGGCAGCAGUGGGGAAUCUUGCGCAAUGGGCGAAAGCCUGACGCAGCGACGCCGCGUGGGGGAUGAAGCCCUUCGGGGUGUAAACCCCUUUCGACCCGGACGAAUGGCCCGCAAGGGAAUUGACGGUACGGGUAGAAGAAGCCCCGGCUAACUACGUGCCAGCAGCCGCGGUAAAACGUAGGGGGCCAGCGUUGCUCGGAAUUACUGGGCGUAAAGGGUUCGUAGGCGGUGCGGCAAGUCGGAAGUGAAAUCUCAGGGCUUAACUCUGAGGCUGCUUCCGAAACUGCCGCGCUCGAGUGCGGGAGAGGCGAGUGGAAUUGCAGGUGUAGCGGUGAAAUGCGUAGAUAUCUGCAGGAACACCCGUGGCGAANGCGGCUCGCUGGACCGCAACUGACGCUGAGGAACGAAAGCUAGGGGAGCAAACAGGAUUAGAUACCCUGGUAGUCCUAGCCCUAAACCAUCAGGACUUGGGGUGCAUCCCGUUUGGGGUGCGUCCCGGAGCUAACGCGUUAAGUCCUGCGCCUGGGGAGUACGGUCGCAAGGCUGAAACUCAAAUGAAUUGACGGG